rnacentral:rRNA from 1 species
AUUGAACGCUGGCGGCAGGCCUAACACAUGCAAGUCGAGCGGAGCGGCCGACGGGCGCGUAAGGCCUAUGUAUCUGCCUGGUUGUGGGGGAUAACGUCCGGCAAUGGGCGCUAUUACCCCACCCUAUCAGCUGCGCCUUGGGCGGUUUAGCUAGUUGGUGGGGGAAAGACCUACCAAGCCGACGAUCCGUAACUGGUCUGAGAGGAUGAUCAGCCACCCUGGAACUGAGACACGGUCCAUACUCCUACGGGAGGCAGCAGUGGGGAAUAUUGGACAAUGGGCGAAAGCCUGAUCCAGCCAUGCCGCGUGUGUGAAGAAGGUCUUCGGAUUGGAAAGCACUUUAAGUUGGGAGGCGUUACCGACAGAAUAAGCACCGGCUAACUUCGUGCCAGCAGCCGCGGUAAUUC